GGGUGAGGCUGGUAAGGAUCAGGAGGACGGGAGGGGGACGGGGUGCGAGGUCGCAGCUAAGCAGCACACGAGAGGAGCUAAAGCAACAAUAGAGGACAGACCUAAGAGAAAGACAGACAGACGCGUGGACAGAGCGCAGGGGAGAUGACAGACCAUCGGGGCAGGGGGUAUAUACACAGGAAGACAAAGAUGGCUCCUCCGUGUGUGACUAGAAGGAUAGCGAUUAAAAAGAGAGGAGUGAAAGGAAAGAAAACGGGGAAUAAGUGAGGAGACAAAAUGAGGAAGAAGCACACAGGUACUAGUUAAAUGCUUCGAAAAGCACCAGGCUGUCAGGCUGAGCUGGAAGAAGUUCCACAGCCAUACCCAGGAGGGGACCAUCAGUAAGACAGAGGCAGGCAAUUUAAGUAGCUAGCUACUGAGGUAAAAAUGAAAAAAAAAAAAAAUAGAAGAUGGAAAAGGUGAGAAGCAAGAGAAGGAAAACCCAAAGGAGACACUGGCCCAGAAACCUUUUUAACUUUCUGUAAGAAUCUUCAAGGCCCCAAACUAGGCCAAGAUUCUGACUGACAUUUCUGAGCUCACCAGCUGCUGUUUCCUUGAGAGAAUUCUGACAGGAAGGCAUAGAAAUGCAAGCCAACACUGCCAGCUCUGAAAAAGAUAAUAAUAACAACCCAGGCUCUAAACACCUCAAUGGGGCCGAAGCCUGCCAGGGAAGAAGGCCCACAGAGGAGGAGGGACCUGCCUGCAACUUUUCCCCAGGCUUGCACAACCGAUGCUCGGAGGUACCAAGGGAUCCUUACCCUGGAGGCUACGGUCACCUCCCAAGGGAGCUGCCCCCUGCUCUGGCUGGUCAAACGGAACCAAGUCCGUCUUCCUGAGAGGUUUGGUCCCCUUCAACCAGCUACAGCAGGGCUGGCAAUGCCCAGUCCUUGGAGAAACAGAAGAGAUUCACCUGAAGCUGAAAUUACUUACUAAUGCUUCCCUUAAGGAAAUGACUCUGAUUUUGUCAUAUACUCUCAUGCUCCCAGGAAGGGAGAAGAGAGGAGCCCUGGGUUCAAAAGUGAGCAAGAUUUUCAUGCUGAACACAAAGAGCUCUGUACCCCUGCAUCCACAACCAGACCCACUCACGUGCUCCUGACACACACAGUCAGUAAAGAUUUGGAGGAGGGAAUUUGUGCCAACCAGGGGAAGAUUACGGGACCUAGAAGACAGGGCUCCUGCUCACAUGGGGCUAGCAGUCUAAGUAAAGAAAUUAGACAGAUGAAUAUGGCACAGUUCAAUGGAAUCUCAAGUGCAAGCUCAGCAAUUCUUCUCACAUAGUCCACCAAAUAUGCCUGGCACAUGGCACGCCAUCAAACCUCUGCCCAUCCAUGCAGCCCAAGAUAUCUAUUCACGAAGCAAUAUACACAUGACUCAGUUUCCUGAUCUGUAGAAUGGGGAUAAUAAUCAUACCACCCACCACAUACGGUUUUGUGUGGAAUGAAAUGAGAAUGCAUGUAAAGGAGUUAGAAAGCUCUCAAUAAUUGCUACCUGUUAUUAAGGGGGAUAACCUGACGUGUCUUCCUUUCAAAAUUUGUAUCUUUGACAGUGCACUCAUCCUUACAUGUAUUACUAGUAUAUAAUAAGAGUCACUUUUAAAAAGUGCUUCAUACAUUAGUCUGAUACUAUCAUCUUAAAGAAAUAUCCUGCCUAGAAAGCUUUCAUUUGUGCAUGGCGCUAAGAUGCUAGUCUGGACCCACAUGUCCUCCGGAGUACACAAAGGCCACGGAGUGCGUAUUACGAAGGUGUGGAGUUUGGACAUAAGCACAGGAGCUGGAGUGCCUGGGCUCAAAUUCCAGCAUUCCUACUCACCACCACCCCCACCAGCUGUGCCACUUUGGACCAGUUGCUUGACCUCUCUGAGCCUACAUUUCCUCAUCCGUAGAAUGGAGAUAUUAAUAAGAGCGUCAGCCUCAUAGGGUUUUCAUGAGAAUGAAGUUAAAAAAUACAUGUAAAUGUAUAAAACUAGUGUGAGAUAUAUAAUAAGCUUUUAACAUUGACAAUGUACCUGAAAUGUUCCUGAAACUAAAUUGGUGUUCAAUAAACACUUCUUCAAUAAA